rnacentral:rRNA from 1 species
GAUCAUGGCUCAGGAUGAACGCUAGCUACAGGCUUAACACAUGCAAGUCGAGGGGCAGCAUGGGAUUAGCUUGCUAAUCCUGAUGGCGACCGGCGCACGGGUGAGUAACGCGUAUCCAACCUUCCCUUACUCAGGGACUAGCCCGGUGAAAACCGGAUUAACACCUGAUGGUUUCAUUAGAUGGCAUCUGACGAUGAAUAAAGUUUACGGUAAGGGAUGGGGAUGCGUCUGAUUAGCUUGUUGGCGGGGUAACGGCCCACCAAGGCUACGAUCAGUAGGGGUUCUGAGAGGAAGGUCCCCCACAUUGGAACUGAGACACGGUCCAAACUCCUACGGGAGGCAGCAGUGAGGAAUAUUGGUCAAUGGGCGAGAGCCUGAACCAGCCAAAGUAGCGUGCAGGAAGACGGCCCUAUGGGUUGUAAACUGCUUUUGUACGGGAAUAAAGUCAGGGACGUGUCCCUGUUUGCAUGUACCGUAAGAAUAAGGACCGGCUAAUUCCGUGCCAGCCGCCGC